UGGAGUAGAACAGAAAUUUAGAUGAUCUUAAGUUAGAAUGCAGAAUUCAGGAAAAUUUUGAAACCUUGCAAUCAACGGCAGCUUGAGUCUACAUAAUGAAAGGGCACACCAUAUGCCAUAGCAAACUGACAGAGUGGUCAAUAUGAAGACAAAGUGUAUUAGUCCAUUCUCACACUGCUACAAAAAACUACCUGAGACUGGUAGUUUUUGAAGAAAAGAGGUUUAAUUGACUCACAGUUCUGUAGACUUAAUAGGAAGCAUAACUGGGAGACAUCAGGAAACUUACAAUCAUGGAGUAAAGCAAAGGGGAAACAAGGACCUUCUUCACAUGGUGGCAGGAGAGAGAGAACUGGGGUGAAGGAGGAAGUGCCACACAUUUUAAACCAUCAGAUAUCAUGAGAAUUCAUUCACUAUCCCAAGAACAGCAAGGGGGACAUCCACCCCCAUGAUCCAAUUGCCUCCCACCAGGUCCUUCCCCUGACAUGUGGGGAUUAUAAUGUGACAGGACAUUUAGGUGGGGACACAGAGCCAAACCAUAUCACAUAAACCUCAAGAGAACCAAGAGAAAGAAGAUCUUUCUGGCCAGCCAUGAAAAAAGACUCAAUCACUUAUAAGGGAGAAAAAACCUAAGUAGGCUCAGAUUUCUC
rnacentral:lncRNA from 1 species